rnacentral:rRNA from 1 species
CGAUGCGAUCAUACCAGCACUAAAGCACCGGAUCCCAUCAGAACUCCGAAGUUAAGCGUGCUUGGGCGAGAGUAGUACUAGGAUGGGUGACCUCCUGGGAAGUCCUCGUGUUGCAUCCC